rnacentral:misc_RNA from 1 species
CUCCCUCUAUUUCAUAAUGUAAGUCAUUCUAGCAUUUCCCACAUUUAUAUUGAUGUUAAUGAAUCUAGACAUAUAUAAUCUAGACAUAUAUAUGUCUAGAUUCAUUAACAUCAAUAUGAAUGUGGGAAAUGCUAGAAUGACUUACAUUGUGAAACGGAGG